rnacentral:misc_RNA from 1 species
GGAAGCGCCUCUCUGAUCAUUUCCGGAAAUCGUUUUGCAAGGAGCAGCAGAAGGAGCUGGGCUGGAAGAAUAUUUUCUGCCGAGGGUUGGGUGUCACUGCUCCCAAAGCAAGAACUCGUGACAAACCCAUGUCUACUGCCUUGUUCUUCACUCUCUGAGCUUGCUUCUUGACCCGGAUAAUUGGGGUUCUCAUUGAUUUCUUGAGGCCUCCUUUGAUACACGACUCCAAUGACGAGAGUUGUUAUACCAAGAGGUUCCUCUGGUGGUUCUUCUUCUACAAACUCCAACCGAUCUUCUGCCCCAGCUUCUUCAUCAUCUCGCCCUGA